GGCGUAAUGCAGGGGAACCCGUACAACCGGGUUGAGAUAGGCGUAAGGCCUGACCCUUUGAACCUGAUGGUUAAUACCAGCGUAGGGAGGCAUAUCUUUGAGCGAU
rfam:Bifidobacterium dentium Bd1, complete genome.